rnacentral:rRNA from 1 species
AGUCAUAUGCUUGUCUCAAAGAUUAAGCCAUGCAUGUCUCAGUACAAACCAAAUUAAGGUGAAACCGCGAAAGGCUCAUUAAAUCAGUUAUGGUUCCUUAGAUCGUACCCACAUUUACUUGGAUAACUGUGGUAAUUCUAGAGCUAAUACAUGCAAACAGAGCUCCAACCGGAGACGGAAGGAGUGCUUUUAUUAGAUCAAAACCAAUCGGCGGCAGUGGCGUUUCGGCGUCAUUGUUCGUCGCACUAUUUGGUGACUCUGAAUAACUUUUGGCUGAUCGCACGGUCUUGCACCGGCGACGCAUCUUUCAAAUGUCUGCCUUAUCAACUGUCGAUGGUAGGUUCUGCGCCUACCAUGGUUGUAACGGGUAACGGGGAAUCAGGGUUCGAUUCCGGAGAGGGAGCCUGAGAAACGGCUACCACAUCCAAGGAAGGCAGCAGGCGCGCAAAUUACCCACUCCCGGCACGGGGAGGUAGUGACGAAAAAUAACGAUACGGGACUCAUCCGAGGCCCCGUAAUCGGAAUGAGUACACUUUAAAUCCUUUAACAAGGACCAAUUGGAGGGAAAGUCUGGUGCCAGCAGCCGCGGUAAUUCCAGCUCCAAUAGCGUAU